AACGCACGAGACCUGCGGACCUGCGGAGGGAUCAUUACCGAGUUUACAACUCCCAAACCCAAUGUGAACCAUACCAAACUGUUGCCUCGGCGGGGUCACGCCCCGGGUGCGUCGCAGCCCCGGAACCAGGCGCCCGCCGGAGGGACCAACCAAACUCUUUCUGUAGUCCCCUCGCGGACGUUAUUUCUUACAGCUCUGAGCAAAAAUUCAAAAUGAAUCAAAACUUUUAACAAUGGAUCU
rnacentral:misc_RNA from 1 species